rnacentral:rRNA from 1 species
UAGCUUGCUAGAUUGAUGGCGAGUGGCGAACGGGUGAGUAAUACAUCGGAACGUGCCCUGUAGUGGGGGAUAACUAGUCGAAAGAUUAGCUAAUACCGCAUACGACCUGAGGGUGAAAGUGGGGGACUGCAAGGCCUCAUGCUAUAGGAGCGGCCGAUGUCUGAUUAGCUAGUUGGUGAGGUAAAGGCUCACCAAGGCGACGAUCAGUAGCUGGUCUGAGAGGACGAUCAGCCACACUGGGACUGAGACACGGCCCAGACUCCUACGGGAGGCAGCAGUGGGGAAUUUUGGACAAUGGGCGAAAGCCUGAUCCAGCAAUGCCGCGUGUGUGAAGAAGGCCUUCGGGUUGUAAAGCACUUUUGUCCGGAAAGAAAUGGCUCUGGUUAAUACCUGGGGUCGAUGACGGUACCGGAAGAAUAAGCACCGGCUAACUCUGUGCCAGCAGCCGCGGUAAUACAGAGGGUGCGAGCGUUAAUCGGAUUUACUGGGCGUAAAGCGUGCGUAGGCGGCUUUUUAAGUCGGAUGUGAAAUCCCUGAGCUUAACUUAGGAAUUGCAUUCGAUACUGGGAAGCUAGAGUAUGGGAGAGGAUGGUAGAAUUCCAGGUGUAGCGGUGAAAUGCGUAGAGAUCUGGAGGAAUACCGAUGGCGAAGGCAGCCAUCUGGCCUAAUACUGACGCUGAGGUACGAAAGCAUGGGGAGCAAACAGGAUUAGAUACCCUGGUAGUCCAUGCCGUAAACGAUGUCUACUAGCCGUUGGGGCCUUUGAGGCUUUAGUGGCGCAGCUAACGCGAUAAGUAGACCGCCUGGGGAGUACGGUCGCAAGACUAAAACUCAAAUGAAUUGACGGAGGCCCGCACAAGCGGUGGAGCAUGUGGUUUAAUUCGAUGCAACGCGAAGAACCUUACCUGGUCUUGACAUAGUAAGAACUUUCCAGAGAUGGAUUGGUGCCUUCGGGAACUUACAUACAGGUGCUGCAUGGCUGUCGUCAGCUCGUGUCGUGAGAUGUUGGGUUAAGUCCCGCAACGAGCGCAACCCUUUUCCUUAUUUGCCAGCGGGUUAAGCCGGGAGCUUUAAGGAUACUGCCAGUGACAAACUGGAGGAAGGCGGGGACGACGUCAAGUCAUCAUGGCCCUUACGACCAGGGCUACACACGUGCUACAAUGGUCGGUACAAAGGGUUGCUACCUAGCGAUAGGAUGCUAAUCUCAAAAAGCCGAUCGUAGUCCGGAUUGGAGUCUGCAACUCGAC